rnacentral:rRNA from 1 species
GCAUAGCCGACCUGAGAGGGUGAUCGGCCACACUGGAACUGAGACACGGUCCAGACUCCUACGGGAGGCAGCAGUAGGGAAUCUUCCGCAAUGGGCGAAAGCCUGACGGAGCAACGCCGCGUGAGUGAUGAAGGUCUUCGGAUCGUAAAACUCUGUUAUUAGGGAAGAACAUAUGUGUAAGUAACUGUGCACAUCUUGACGGUACCUAAUCAGAAAGCCACGGCUAACUACGUGCCAGCAGCCGCGGUAAUACGUAGGUGGCAAGCGUUAUCCGGAAUUAUUGGGCGUAAAGCGCGCGUAGGCGGUUUUUUAAGUCUGAUGUGAAAGCCCACGGCUCAACCGUGGAGGGUCAUUGGAAACUGGAAAACUUGAGUGCAGAAGAGGAAAGUGGAAUUCCAUGUGU